UACGAAGGGGGCUAGCGUUGCUCGGAAUCACUGGGCGUAAAGCGCACGUAGGCGGCUUUCUAAGUCAGGGGUGAAAUCCUGGAGCUCAACUCCAGAACUGCCUUUGAUACUGGAGAGCUUGAGUCCGGGAGAGGUGAGUGGAACUCCGAGUGUAGAGGUGAAAUUCGUAGAUAUUCGGAAGAACACCAGUGGCGAAGGCGGCUCACUGGACCGUUGUUGACGCUGAGGUGCGAAAGCGUGGGGAGCAAACAGG
rnacentral:rRNA from 1 species